GAUGAACGCUGGCGGCGUGCCUAAUACAUGCAAGUCGAGCGAACAGAUAAGGAGCUUGCUCCUUUGACGUUAGCGGCGGACGGGUGAGUAACACGUGGGUAACCUACCUAUAAGACUGGGAUAAUUUCGGGAAACCGGAGCUAAUACCGGAUAACAUUUGGAACCGCAUGGUUCUAAAGUGAAAGAUGGUUUUGCUAUCACUUAUAGAUGGACCCGCGCCGUAUUAGCUAGUUGGUAAGGUAACGGCUUACCAAGGCGACGAUACGUAGCCGACCUGAGAGGGUGAUCGGCCACACUGGAACUGAGACACGGUCCAGACUCCUACGGGAGGCAGCAGUAGGGAAUCUUCCGCAAUGGGCGAAAGCCUGACGGAGCAACGCCGCGUGAGUGAUGAAGGGUUUCGGCUCGUAAAACUCUGUUAUUAGGGAAGAACAAAUGUGUAAGUAACUGUGCACGUCUUGACGGUACCUAAUCAGAAAGCCACGGCUAACUACGUG
rnacentral:rRNA from 1 species